CAACAACCCAGAAGACAGCUAUUUGCAAAUUACAUUUCCUUUCGUUAAACCCGUCACGGAAAUAUGGUAUUGCUGAAAUUUCGUUCCUGGCGGCGUAUUGAAAUUCAUUCGUCUUUCGUCAUGGAAGCAGCGGUGGCAUACGUAGUCUUCCAUUCACAUGGAAAUUCAUUGUUUACGUCUUUAGUUCACGUAUGACACUUGACUGUUUGUAGGUUAUCGGCGUUUUGGUUUGAAUAGUUUAAAUUUUGUGAUCUUGUAUCGUGUUGGUGGCCGUAACUGAAGUCAAAGGGUCACUGUCAGUGUAUUAAACAGAAUAAAUUUUGUCAUAGAAUAGCUGUAUCUAAAGCAUAUUUAUUUUUGUGUUUGUAAAAGGUUCAAAGUAGAGGUCUUCCGGCGAUCUGUCCUAUUGUAUGUUUGUGGUUUUGGCACAAUGGCCACGGUUAUUGGUUUAGCUGGCUUUGCACCACGCAGUCCUGUUCUUAAAUUCUAUACAUAAUUUUACUUUACGGGGCAUUUGUGAGGUUCAGCUGUAUUUUGAGACGAAGUUUGAUGGAUGUUAAACGUUUGGGAAGUUCAGUUUGAGAUUUCUGGUUCUCACGACGGUAAAACCUAAUUGGCAGGUUUAAUUUUAAUUAGAUACUUUUGUUUAAUAUAUGCUAUUUUUAUUACAACUUAAUUAAUUUUAUUUUUAAAUUUGUUUAGUGUCAGAAUGCUAAUGCUGUCGAUGUUCAGUUAUAUGACUCAUAUAAACAAGCACUUGAAUAUAUAUUGUCUUCUAAAUAUUGUAAUAAUAAAUCGAUGUAGUAAUUCGUA